CCUACGGGUGGCUGCAGUGGGGAAUAUUGCACAAUGGGGGAAACCCUGAUGCAGCGACGCCGCGUGAGCGAUGACGUAUUUCGGUAUGUAAAGCUCUAUCAGCAGGGAAGAAAAUGACGGUACCUGACUAAGAAGCCCCGGCUAAAUACGUGCCAGCAGCCGCGGUAAUACGUAGGUGGCAAGCGUUAUCCGGAUUUACUGGGUGUAAAGGGAGCGUAGACGGAAAGGCAAGUCAGAAGUGAAAACCCAAGGCUCAACCAUGGGACUGCAUUUGAAACUGUCAAACUAGAGUACAGGAGAGGUAAGAGGAAUUCGUAGUGUAGCGGUGAAAUGCGUAGAUAUUAGGAGGAACACCAGUGGCGAAGGCGUCUUACUGGACCGAAACUGACGUUGAGGCUCGAAAGCGUGGGGAGCAAACAGGAUUAGAUACCCGUGUAGUC
rnacentral:rRNA from 1 species